rnacentral:lncRNA from 10 species
GCCAGGGAACCAGAGAUCAGCCAGGUAGCCCAACGCCUUUUGUAAUUAUGCAAACUAGACAAUCACCAAUGGUUCACUCCAUCUGCCUUACCUUUCCUUCGGAAACCUCAAUAAAGGCAGUGGCCUAACUCUUCCCCUAGCUCCUGUCUUCUGCCUCCUGACUACCACGGUGUCUUUCCCAUGUGAACUCAGGUGGCAUUUUGUGCCUCUAGGACCUAACAGGAAAGGAUUGUUUAGCUGACAUGGAAGAUUCAAUAUCUGAACAAGGAGUUCUAAAUAAUUCUCUGCACCUUAGUCUGCCAAUACUCAUUCUAAAACUACACAAAGGAGAUUCAAAAUAAAAAGAGGAUGAUAAACGGCAAAACCAUCUGAGACUUUAGGAAUUAUUGACAAAAGGAGUAAGAAUGUGGAGAGAAUUACAUAGCUGCAAAGAAUGUUUGUCAUAGCUGCAAUGGGAGUAAGAAGACAUUGAAGGACAUUGAAUAGAAAGUAGAAACACUUUACAUCAAAAGGAAAGAAAUUCAUACUAUACUUUUAACAAUUUUAUCAACCCGCUUAUUGAUUGUAUUAGUUUGCUAGGACUGCCAUGAUAAAAUACAAUAGUCUAGGUGGCUUAAAUAACAGAAAUAAAUUUUCUUACAGUUGUGGAGGCUAUACAUCCAAAAUCAAGGUGUCAUCAAUGUUGGUUUUUGGUGAGACCUUUCUUCUUGGCUUAUGUCC